ACAUAACCCAUCGGCCUCUCUCUCUCUCCUUAAAACAAAAUUCCCAAAUCAACAGGAAACCAUAGCCUCCUUCUCAAAAUCUCUCGUCUCAUCCCCACCGCCUUCCGAAACCGGCGUCGACGCCGGCCGUGAGCUCAGGAAGGCGGAGCUGUCGUCGCGGCUCCGUGAGACGCUCUCAAUUUGAGUCGCGGCGGUGCCCUCGGCAUCUCCGUCGCGCCCUCCCGUUCCAUCGUCGUUUCAUCCUUCACUGGCGGAGUCGCCGACAGGAAAGAGGCGUCGCCUCUCUCUCUCCCUGCCUCCGGCGUUCUCCUGGCUUUUUCCGACGAAUCCUCUAUCGCCGUCAUCGCGGAUCGCCGCUGCUGCCUCCCAUCCUUUCACGGCGACUCAGCGCCGUCACUGCCAUUUCUGUCUGAAGCUGACGCCGUUCGGCUCGCUUUGCAGACCAGCGCCGCCGCCGCCGCCGUCGGUCGGCCUUGAAGCUAAGUUCCUCUCUCUUUUUUUUUCAGUCUAAAGCUUGGUCUAUUUAGCUCGAGUUUUGGGGCAGUAGCUAUGUGAUUAAAGACUUGAUUGUGGAGCUCAACUCACUGGAAUGAGCUUGAAAAGUUUAUCUUGCUAUGUUAAAAGUUGUUUCUAUGAUUCUAAGAGUUGGAGUUCUACUGGGGCUUUACUAAUCUGCAGUUAUCCUAUGAGUUUGGUUAAGAAAUGUUGGUCCCUUGAUUAUUAUAGCUCGAUACUUGAUGUGAGGCUGGAUUUAGUAUAGUUAACACUCGUGCUAUGUGGUGAUUGAUCUAAACAUGAUGCAGAUAAGGUGUUGGGGUGUUGGGUGUUUACCUCUUGAUGUAGUGAAGAAAUGAGGCUGCCCUUGUUGCUGCUUGAGAUCAGCUCCUAAGGCACCAAGCUUUCUAACUCUCUCUAAAUUUUGCUGAUUAUUUUGAGAAGUGUGGGAGGGAGUUCGAAUGUGGUGUGGAGGCCCUUGUUUUAUAGGCUGAUUUUGUGUACCUUAGGGGAGUUAAUGAGGCUGACCUUGUUUGGUUUAUUGCCCAGCAUAUCUCUUGUUCUUGAUCCCCAAAGCAGCCUUUUACUUGACACAUUUUGGUGCUACUUGGAGUACUAGAGUUUGACUAAUUAAUUUAACUUGUUCUCACAUGCUCUCAUAGUACUUUGGUUCAUAACUUUAUUUGUUUGCAAGCUGCAGGAAAUCUCUCACUUCCUUGAUCUCCACUACUCUUGUUUGAAGGAACUUGGUGUUUUGCUAAGGACAGAGGACUUCUCAUUUACUCACUUUGGUGGUUUGUGACUAAGAUAUAAAGGCAGAUUUGGCUUUCCUCAUUUGGAUAGGUCCUUAGUCCUCUAUCACUAAGGUGGGUCACCUUGGCUGCUUUGAUGUUCUCGGACUCGGCCCGCCGUUCGGCCGAUGGGUUGCUCAAACGGGCCACGAUUUGGGCCUGAGGGGGAAGGCCCGAAAAGCAUCUAAAUUUUAUUUUCUUUGUUUUCUUUCUUUGAAGCCUCGAUCCACAUAUUGUAGUAUUUUUGACAUUAAUUGUUCGUUUAUUGUUUUAGAAAUGUUAUUCGAAAAUUCAUGAUAUUCUACAAUGUAAAUUUCCAAUUCUUAGUUCAAUUGAUUUACUUA